GACAGAGGCCUCGAGCGUUAGGCGGAAUCACUGGGCUUAAAGCGUGUGUAGGCGGAUCGUUAAGUACCUUGUGAAAUCCCACGGCUCAACCGUGGAACGGCUGGGUAUACUGGCGGUCUUGGGCCAUUCAGGGGCGACUGGAACAAGCGGUGGAGCGGUGAAAUGCGUAGAUAUCGCUUGGAACGCCAAUGGUGAAAACAGGUCGCUGGGGAUGAGCUGACGCUGAGACACGAAAGCCAGGGGAGCAAACGGG
rnacentral:rRNA from 1 species